CAGAGUUGCAAAACUCCCACAAACCAUCGCGAAUCUUACCCGUACGGUUGCCUCGGCGCUGGCGGUCCGGAAGGCCCUCGGGCCCCCCGGAUCCUCGGGUCUCCCGCUCGCGGGAGGCUGCCCGCCGGAGUGCCGAAACCAAACUCUUGAUAUUUUAUGUCUCUCUGAGUAAACUUUUAAAUAAGUUA
rnacentral:misc_RNA from 1 species